UACGUAGGGUGCGAGCGUUAAUCGGAAUUACUGGGCGUAAAGUGUGCGCAGGCGGCCGCGAAAGUCGAGUGUGAAAGCCCCGGGCUUAACUUGGGAAUUGCGCUCGAAACUACGUGGCUGGAGUGUGGCAGAGGAAGGUGGAAUUCCAGGUGUAGCGGUGAAAUGCGUAGAGAUCUGGAGGAACACCGAUGGCGAAGGCAGCCUUCUGGGCCAACACUGACGCUCAUGCACGAAAGCGUGGGGAGCAAACAGG
rnacentral:rRNA from 1 species